CCUACGGGUGGCUGCAGUCGAGAAUCUUCGGCAAUGGACGAAAGUCUGACCGAGCGACGCCGCGUGCGGGAUGAAGGUCUUCGGAUUGUAAACCGCUGUCAGAGGGGAUGCAGAGCCUCAGAGGAAGCACGGGCUAAGUUCGUGCCAGCAGCCGCGGUAAUACGAACUGUGCGAACGUUAUUCGGAAUCACUGGGCUUAAAGGGUGCGUAGGCGGUUUUCUAAGUCACGUGUGAAAUCUUCUGGCUCAACCAGAAAACUGCGCGUGAUACUGGAGAACUUGAGUGAGGUAGGGGUGUGUGGAACUUCCGGUGGAGCGGUGAAAUGUGUAGAGAUCGGAAGGAACGCCAGCAGCGAAAGCGGCACACUGGGCUUUCUGACGCUGAGGCACGAAAGCUAGGGGAGUGAACGGGAUUAGAUACCCUUGUAGUC
rnacentral:rRNA from 1 species